rnacentral:rRNA from 1 species
CCUACGGGGGGCAGCAGUGAGGAAUAUUGGUCAAUGGGCGAGAGCCUGAACCAGCCAAGUCGCGUGAGGGAGUACUGCCCUAUGGGUUGUAAACCUCUUUUGUCGGGGAGCAAAAGCCGGACGUGUCCGGCUGUGAGAGUACCCGAAGAAAAACCAUCGGCUAACUCCGUGCCAGCAGCCGCGGUAAUACGGAGGAUGCGAGCGUUAUCCGGAUUUAUUGGGUUAAAGGGGGGCGCAGGCGGAUUUUUAAGUCAGCGGUAAAAUCGUGGGGCUCAACCCCAUCCAGCCGUUGAAACUGGGGAUCUAGAGUGUGCGAGAGGUAUGCGGAAUGCGUGGUGUAGCGGUGAAAUGCAUAGAUAUCACGCAGAACCCCGAUUGCGAAGGCAGCAUACCGGUGCACAACUGACGCUCAGGCACGAAAGCGUGGGUAUCGAACAGGAUUAGAUACCCCAGUAGUC